AAUGUUAAAAACUGAUCAAGUUAAGUCUUCAAGCAGUGUAUUAAAGUCUAAAGUUUCUCAGAGAAGUGCUGGAACUUUCCAUGACUCACAGUCAACUAGGCCAUGUGGACAAGGUGUCAGUAACUUCCGAUAAGGUGUAAUUAAAUUGAUCCACGUCAAUGAAUUUUGCUACUUGAAUAUUCCUUGAGUUUCCUUAUUGCCAUCGUGGCCAUUGUGGCAGCAAAGUUAAGUUUCAUCUUCUCUGUAAAUGUGAGAGCAGUGCAUCCUGCCAGGGUCAUCAGGGCACAGAGACACUAUCACAUUGUUAAAGGUUGUUGAUGGCAGGUUUCAAGUUAUCUCUGGCGUUCUUAAAAGCUUUGGCUGAUUACUGAAGUGUAACAGCAUGACCUCAGUUCAUCAAAGAUAUAAAUGUUCUUGCAGGGAUGACUUUAUGGGUGUGAGUGAGUCAAGGCAACAAUUUGUAAUGUGUGUACAGAAUUAAGUUUAUCUUUAUGGAUGAUAUCAAUGCCGUAUUUACCUGAAGACUGUCACUGUGUGACACACCUAAGCUUGUUUGUAGAGUUAUAUGUUGUAAUGGAAACGUUAGGAAUUGUUAAAAUUACAUAUUUUUCAAAGGGAGUUUGGUGAAGGGAGCUUUUAGUUUACUUCAAACCGCUAAUAUUUAUAUUUCUUAACGUUUUGCCACCGCUAUAGAAACACUAGGUAACUGCUAAAGUAUGAUAAGGUUGUCUGAUGUUGACCCGCUGUCAGUUAUUAGUUUGAUUGAUGUGUGUGUUGACUCUAGCUGAUUAAUUAAACACCAUGUGCAUGUUAUUAAUGGUGUUAUUGAUGACUCCUGAUGAAAUGUAGUGAAAGAUGUUGCAAUGUGUGACCUCCUGCUACAUACAAAUGUGACAUAUGUUAGCAUCCACUCCACUGUGAUUGGAAUAAGGCGCACAAUCCUUUAUGUAAGACAAGAGAAGAUAAAAUAAAAUAAGAUUAUAUAUCUUUAUUAAUCCCCCGUAGGAGAAAUUCAAAGUUACGCACAGCAGCAUUGGGGAAUAUAGUGCAAAAAAAAGUACAGUGUACAAGUACAAUCUUAUCACAGAUAAGAAUAUUACAAAAUAUAAUACACAAAUGUAAUGUAUAGUGCAGUCACAAGCAGCCAUGUCUGCUAGAUCUCCGGUAGCUGAGAGAGAAAAUCCAGAGGGCUUGAAGAUAAUUCAGAAAUAGGAAUGUAAAGAUAUAUCAAGGGACUGUUAACUCGUGAUACAAACAUGUGAAGACUCAAAUCGGUCGCCAUCGACCCUGGUUUUGUGAAUUCUAUCGAAAUGUGAGUUGAGUGUUAUAUCCCUAUUCAGAAACAAUUUAAAGGAUGAGGAAACAUGGAAUCACAUGGGGCUACUGCACCGUUUUAUAUGAGCCACAGUUUGGUUUCUCUUUAUAUCGUGCUCUGUUUAAUUCUUUUAUACACGCCUUGUCACACCAAAUUGUCUCUACUGGCUUUACAGGUUCUUAAGGUGCGGUCAAUUCUGAAAACAAAAGCAUAUAACUGAAAACAAUGCGACUCUUUCAAUCCUGUAUGAUCACAUUCAUUCAGAUCUGUUGGACUGUACAAAUAUUAUAUAACCCCAGUUUAGAGAACAUAUUUUAAACCAUAAACUUGUUGUCACGUGUAUUUAUAAUAGUUAAUUAUUUAUUGAUAGAAAAAAACCCAUACAUGUUAGUCUUAGCAGAUUAUUCUGUCAGUUUUCAAAUAAACCAAACUGGCCCAGGUACACAUACUGACUGCCUGGUGGAUUCUGAACCGUACACCAAAGUGUCAUGCUAUAAAAGUAGGUAUGGGUACACCAAAAGAAAACCUAAUGCUAUGUCAUACCAUUAAUAAACCUAUAAAAUAUCAGCGAUAUCAUUUGAUCAGCCCCUUUUGCCAAAGCACUUUUUAUUAGUCCAAUCUAGAAGCAAGCAUUUAGGGUCAGGUUACGGGACUUCUCUCGUGUACCUGUUGAUGUUACCCAUUCUUUUUUCAAGUUCAACUUGUCCCAAGAGUGAUAAAGUGACUUGAGUUCUGUUGCUACGUUACCUUUUACUCCCACUGGGAGUCUCUGGAAGGUAUUUAUUGUUAUUGUGAGUGUAAUCGUUCUGUUCCAAAACACACUGGUAGUAUAGCAUAAAUAGCAAGACAGCUGCCCCUAUUAUUUUCAUAACAGUCAGUACAUAGUGUGUAUGAUAUGUACUAGUCAGGGUCAGAGCUAACCAUAGCACUGAAACAGUCCUUAGCAGAGUAAUCAAUGACCCAUUAGGCCUGUUUUCUAGAAAUAGUCUUUAUGACUUUGCAACAAUAAGUAUGUUUUGAAAGUUUGAAACUAAUUCUGCUCCAUUUACAUUUUUUUAAUCAAAAUAAUCUGAAUUCUGUUUAGUAUCUGCCAAACUUUAUCUGAGAAACAUUCACUUACAAUCAGAGGUGUUUCCAGAGGGGGUCACAUUAUCCUAACCCCUUCCUCUAAGUCUUUCAUAGGCUGUAGUGGGCUCUGUUUUAAAGCCAGAGGGAAGAUACUGGUAUCAUAUGAAACUAGAAGACAUAAUGUGUCCAUUGGUACCAUGUCAUUCAAUCAUGUCAAAAAAUGCUCCAAAGUAAGGCUAGGAGGACCAGGGGGACCCCUUAUCCUCCAAAUUAGCUCUGGUUCUUCAACUGGUUUCAUUCAGGAUUCAACAACAGUCAACAAUAAAUAAAAUGUUUGUACUAGUAACAUAAAAUGUGUUUAAAAUUAUUUAUUUAUUUUUGUUUUAAGUAUUUCAGAGAUUCUCCGAGUACCACUAGAGCAUGCUUGUGUACCACCAGUGGCAGUAAAGUAAUAAGACACACACCACUGUGGUCAACUUGAUGUCAGUCAGCAGGUCUUAAGAAUAUCCACUUGAUGUUUGUGAACAGUUAAAUAAUAACCUCACUGGCCUGUGGUUAACAUUUUAAUUUCAAGCCUGUUAGUUGCUGAGAAGAGUCUCAGUCGACCCAUUCAGGAGCUGCACCUUGUCACCAGGACUAAACUAUUGUAACACAGGGAGUCUCUUACUGGUACACUGCUGCAUAUGCUAACUGUACUAGCUGCUGCCUCUAGCUAGUUAGCGGUCCUAUUAGCUGUCUAUGCCCGGACUGGAAACUCGAAGGACAGGGGGGGAGUUUAAACACUACUAGUGUAAGGAGCAGGGGGGACCCACUGGGAUACUGCCAAAGAGCACAACUGAACCCCGCUCAAAGCCUCAAAGGACGCCGGCUAAUUUCCAGCGGCUCCGACCAGGACUCUGACUCUGGGGAUGAAGAGACGGUGAGUUCAGGCAGCAACAGGAGAGGAAUGAACCAGAAUAAGAGGAGCCAGUUUGUAGCGAGUUAAUUAGUGAGUAACUGUUUACGUUAUCCAUCAUCCAUCAUAUCUAAGUCCACCAGUAAUUGUUUUAGUGAAGCUUAUUCCGUGUUUUGAACAACAAGACUUGUGUGAUGUUACACUGUUAUACUACUGAUGUUAUAAUGUACUUAGGUACUUUCCACCAGUCAAAGUCCAGUACUUUGUAUGGUCAACAUCCCCUUUGACCACCUCAGUGUGACUUGCAUGUUGUCUAAGAAUGUAACACUUUCGAAGAAGCCUUGUCACUGAACAUAAUCCAGGCAGGUUGGAUAUCCACACUGAUAAAGCCUACACUACACUGGCUUCACUGCUUCCCUUGACACUACUGAUUGUGGUAUUUUCUUCCUCUGUGAAAGAUUUGAGCGUCUGCGUUUGUUGGCAAAUCUGCUGAGACCGAAUUUUUCUUAGGGGUCCCACAAGGGUCAAUCCUCGGACAUUUGAUCUUUGUGGAGAAAUGCUUCUGCUUGGCAGCAUUACAGAUGAAAGUAAUACACCUUGAGCUUAUCAUUUAUAUUGUGAUAAAAGACAGGUGACACAUUUCUUCCUCUGUGGAUUAUCUCACUCCCAUAAACAAGCUUCUAAACUCUGAAUUGAACUGAACUGAACUGAACUGAAUUGAAUUGAAUUGAAUAACUAGGACAGCCCUGGAAUUCCUGAAAUACCUGGCAAAUUAGAGAUUAGUUUUUCAGUCACAAAAACACUUGGAAAUGGUUAAAAUGACCAAAUAUCCUGCAAAUAAUCUAUGUUGUCCUGGAAAAUCUUUAUUGUAUUUUAGCCCAUUCACUCCUAAAACCUACUUAAAGCUGGGCGCUUAAAAGCAAGUUUAAGGACUUGUAGCCAUCUUUUUGGCAUUGUCGUCAAUUUGCCAGAGGCUACAGCUUAAAAAUUUCAGCUGUGGUGAGAGAAGCCAAGAGCACCACCAAGCUUAAGCGGUCUGAUGUUGACCACCUACCUGCAAUGAACCUGAAAGGAUUCAUGAAGGUGGAAUAACAUGUGUAAAUAAUAGUAAAUUAUAUGAUCGUUGUGUGCUGUCAAGAAAACCCCUCGAAAAUGAUUUCUUAAAAAGAACUCUGCUCUGUCUCUUCCGCACUGUAUCCAUGUAAAUGACGUGCUGCUGUGCCAUGAUAACAGUACGUUUUCUGCCACAGUCUGCUGCACAGCUCACCAAGCAGAGCAGGACGUUCAGACAGUAACCUUGUUGCCUGUCGGAUCAAUCUUUAUUGUUCCAGCCAUCCAUCCAGCUAGCUGGCUGAUUUAGCUAGUGCUGCUGACUCAAGGACAAGCUAAAGGAAACCAAUGAAAGCGGCCUUGUGUGUUUGCAUGUGGUGUAUUGUUGCAAAUUUGUUUAAUAAUAACAUUUUUUGUAAGUUAAUGGUAGCGUUACUUUCUACAAACAAACUUGGUCUUCCGAACUAAACAAUAAAAUAGACACAACCUUAUGUGAUAUAGUCAACAUUUAGUGCCUUUCAAAACCUUUUAAAUGAUUAUUUUCUGACUGUUUUCUGAUCGUUUGCCAUUAACAGUUUGGUUCAGCUAAGGCACUAAAACGAUUUGAUUAAGGUUUGAGAAAGAUUGUGGUCAUUGUGAAUGAAACCAGUGUUCACUGUUGAUAGGAAACAAGAUGCCAACAGUGUUCUCCCUUCUCACAACCAUCCACCUCAACUUAAUUCAUGAGAGAUUUUUAUGCUACUUCUGCUUUUGCUUCUAAGACAGAAAAGUCAUAAUUUAUAGCACAAGUGGUAAAGAAUAGAAUAAAAUAAACUUUUUUUUCUUGGGCACACUAUCUGUCACAUACAUUAAAAGACCAUCACAUGAAACAUCUUACAACACGUAAGAUACAUUCAACUACACUUUUAACACCAACAAUACAGCAGCUUAAAAGAGACUGUAAGAAACUAUAAGAAUUAAAGUGCUAAGGAGCUGGUUUAUUUCUUACACAUAGCUUAUGAUUUAGUAUUAGAGUUCAGCAGCUUGAUAGAAGCUGGGACGAACGAUGACUUUGUUUACCUGUCAGGUAAACAUAAACUCUUUGAUUUUCUAAUUUUUCUUGUGCGGCAGAACCAAAAUAGGUGCCAGUACCUUAAUUCAGCAUUAAGCUAGCUAUGUUUUUACAGACACACACCUCAACAGCAUUGUAGAGAUACCAGGGUCAAAAAACUGAACUUUCUAAGGGGCUUUGGGGCAUCAAAGUUUCAAACUACUUAUUUUUAAGCAGUUUUUUCACAACAUUUAUUAUUUACAAAUCAGAAAACAUACUAAGGUCUGGACCUCGGUGCUCACCUGAGGUCGCUGUACUCAAUAAGAAGUAAGGACACUCAGUACUGGACAGUACCGGCCCAUUUCAUGCACUGGAUGUUAGGGUUAGCUCAGGAUUUGCUUCCACCAAGAUACACAAAGAUUUGACAGACCUUUCCAUAGGUAUUCAUUAUUUCUCUUCCUGUUGAAAGAAGUUGAAAAAGUGGAUUAGCCAAAUCCUAGUUACAGUUAGCUUUCUAUUAGGACAGGGAAGGCUUGGUUAAGGAGAAGAUUGUAGAAUGAAACUAGUGUUGACUGAUAGGAUACAAGAUGCAAAAUCACAAGCUUUUUAUUCUUAAGAGAUUUAGAUAUCAACAACAAUAUCAUCAUGAUGACCAAAAAGUCUCAUAAUUUAUACUGUUACAAGAGGUAUCCAUCAGGUAAACAUAAACUCUUGCCGCUUUUGACCGAUGUUGACAAAAACAUACGUUUUGGAUGUCAGGAUUAGCUCUGGGUUUCCUACAAGAUAGGUAUUGAUUCUGAAAUUGAGUAGCCAAAUCCUUCACAUGUCACAAACUGACUCGCAGUUAACUUCCCAUCAGGCUGCUUUGUCUGCCCACACUCCCAUCUCCACUUGCUUGUAUGCAUUGUAAGGAGAUGAUAUAUGUACUGACCAAUGUUCUGCUGGAUGUGCAGCAGUGAAUGAGCCAUAAAAACCAAAUAUAGCCCUGCUGUAAGCAUUAAUAAACACAUUAAAUCAAUACAUGAAUUGUCCUGGCUGAUCUGUGGUGAUGUAUUACAGCGUCAACACACCGGACACACACACACACAAAUACGGACACCCAUAAAUAUGGGAGGGCUAGAGAUGAUGGGGUGUGUGAUAAAGGGGUCAUAAAAGCAGGUGUUUGAGGAUAUUUUCUGGUCUUACGGGAAAAGAAGAAAGUCAUUAUUGACAGCCUCACAGCAGCACAGCUCACGAUCUAAAGAAUAUCUUUCAAGACACUGUUAAUCCCCGUUUUCGAGGCACUGACACUUCUACCCGGGACAAUGCAAAUUAAUCUUCCGGUUCUGGCUCUUUGCCUUAUUGGCGCAGUAGUCCUGUGUCCAACCAGCGCACAAGUCACU